GGAUUUUCUUCAGGAACCUCCUUGUGGCUCUGCCAUGGCGGGGAGGGUUGGGGGUAAGAAAUAUAAGACCCAAUUCCCUGUGGAGGCGGGGAUUCGGUGAAACCAAUCCCUUGAAUGUGGGGUGGAACCAACAUGUAACUCAAUUUGCUUUGGCUCUCACUGUGCAUUUGAGCUAAAGCAAGGGAAGCAUUUCCCCUUCCCCUGGCUGAAAGCUCAGCUGACCCCGAGGCUCUUCUGGUCAUGCUUAGAGUGGGCCCUACAUCCAAUGACUGGUGUUCUCAUAAGGAGAGAGAGACAAAGAGUAGACAGACACAAGGGAGAAGGCCGUGUGAAGAUGGAGACAGAGAUUGGAAUGAUACAGCCACAAGCCAAGAAACAUCUGCGGCCGUCAGAAGUUGGAAGAGGUUAGAUAAGAAUUUGACACCUGCUGAAAUCUCCAGGCUGGCUCCUCCCAAGGUCAAAUUGCACAUCUUGCCAACGAGAACAGCCUUCACUUCUUGAGCAUCUACUCAGCAGUAUCCUGUUAUGGCAACACGAAAUGGACUAAGACAGGCGGGUGACAGAUUGUCCAGGAUGUCACUAUCAAUCACGCUUCGACUGAGUACAGCCAAACCAGGAUACUCAGGGACUUGGAAUCUGUUACCAGACUUUUAUUUAGUACAGACACAGCGCCAGGGGGCUGAGCAUUCUUCAGCAACACCCUUUGGACCCCUUUCUACACCAUCAUGCUGUAUGAACAGAAGGGUUGGGGACAUGAAGGAGCAGCUCAGCUAAGGUGACCCAGAUGGUUGGGCUCAGAGCUGGAAGAACACCGUGGUCUUCUGACUCCCAAUUCCUGCAUCUGUCCUGCUUGUAAGAGGCUUGCCAAGAACAGGAGCUUUUGUUUGUAGGUCUCUAGGGAUGGCCACCACAGGGAGUGUGAUUUGAAGAUGGGGUCGGCGUGACAUUACAGGCCCCCUUUAGGCUCUGCUGGGUUGCAGGCCAGCUCUCUGGGCUGCCUUUCUGAUGGCUGCUAUUUUAAAGGCAGAUAGGAUGAAGUUAGCAACAACUUAUAUCAUUAAACUAGCAAGGGCUCAGGAGGGGCAGCCCCCUUCUGGGAAUGUGCCUAGCUCCUGCUCCAGAAUGGAGGAGUUUCUGUGGCUCUAGGAGAGCUGGCCUUCUAUGGAGUCUGAGCAAUGUACCGCACGGGGAGGAGAAGACGCUUCCAGAAGAUACCAGUGUUUCUAUCCAGAGACGUUUCCAGGACACCACGUUAAGCAGCAGAGACACUAGAAGCCAAGGCACCUAUGGUCUGGUGUGGAUGUGUGCCUCCUGUGCCUCAGUGGCAUCAUCCGUACCAUGGGAGGUGUGUAAUGAGGGGUGAGAUCACGUCUGUGAGGGCACGUACAUAGUAGAUGCCCAGGAAGUGCCAGUCCCCAUCUCCUUCCCAGUUUCUUCAAAGCCUUCUGGAAGGCACUGGCAUAGCCCAGUCCUGAGGCACUGCUUUUUCUUUCAUGGAUGAUCAGGAGCUUCUGUGAUUUCUUCCCCCUCACUCUUCAUUUUGCCAAGAUGUUGCCCAUAGUAACCUCAGCAGUGGAGCGAGGAUUCUGCACUGUUCCACUGCCCUGGGGCUGCACACCCACGUGAGCGGGGCCGACCCGUCCCAGAGCGCUUUGCCCUCAGAAGGCAGCAUCACCUGCAGGAGCAAUGCCAUGGACAGCUCUGGCUUGUCCUCCAGGGCCCUGGCAUGGUCAGUGAGAAAAUGCCCCUGGGGCAUGGGCUUCUCCUGUCAGUCAAGUUCAGAAGGCUUCCUGGGGUAGGUAGAGACGCUCCCUACCCAGCUGAGUUAUUGAAAUGAUAGGAGGGAGAAGGGAAGGUCUGGGCAUGUGGCACUGUGAUUUUUUUUUCUUUCUUCUUUUUUUUUUUUUUUUUUUUUGGAGACUCGGGGUAGAAAUGAGGACAGGAAGAAGUACAAUCCGUCUGGGAUUGGUUUAUUUUUAUUGCUUUUUAAAAUCAUGUGACUAAUUGGUGUUCAUUGAAAAAGAGAAAACAAAAAUAAGCCAAGAGAAGACAGCAAAAAUAAUCUGUUAACAUCUUGGCAAAUAUCCUUUUUCUCUGCAUAGAAACGGAGAAUACUUUUGUUUCACUUAUAAAAUGUUUCUUAAUGUACACAGCUUUAUAACCUGCUUUUUGCUUAAUGGGACAAUAUACUAGGACAUGUUUUCAGGCCAACAGAUAAAUAUACUUCACUUGCAU
rnacentral:lncRNA from 10 species